UACGUAGGGUGCGAGCGUUAAUCGGAAUUACUGGGCGUAAAGCGCGUGUAGGCGGCUUGGCAAGUCGGGUGUGAAAUCCCUCAGCUCAACUGAGGAAGUGCGCCCGAAACUGCUUGGCUUGAGUACCGGAGAGGAUGGUGGAAUUCCCGAAGUAGAGGUGAAAUUCGUAGAUAUCGGGAGGAACACCGGUGGCGAAGGCGACCAUCUGGACGGAUACUGACGCUGAGACGCGAAAGCGUGGGUAGCAAACAGG
rnacentral:rRNA from 1 species